rnacentral:rRNA from 1 species
CCUACGGGGGGCAGCAGUGGGGAAUAUUGGACAAUGGGCGAAAGCCUGAUCCAGCCAUGCCGCGUGUGUGAAGAAGGCCUUCGGGUUGUAAAGCACUUUCAGUGGGGAAGAAAGCCUUGGGGCUAAUACCCUCGAGGAAGGACAUCACCCACAGAAGAAGCACCGGCUAACUCCGUGCCAGCAGCCGCGGUAAUACGGAGGGUGCGAGCGUUAAUCGGAAUUACUGGGCGUAAAGCGCGCGUAGGCGGUCUGAUAAGCCGGUUGUGAAAGCCCCGGGCUCAACCUGGGAACGGCAUCCGGAACUGUCAGGCUAGAGUGCAGGAGAGGAAGGUAGAAUUCCCGGUGUAGCGGUGAAAUGCGUAGAGAUCGGGAGGAAUACCAGUGGCGAAGGCGGCCUUCUGGACUGACACUGACGCUGAGGUGCGAAAGCGUGGGUAGCAAACAGGAUUAGAUACCCGUGUAUC